UAGGGAAUCUUCCGCAAUGGACGCAAGUCUGACGGAGCAACGCCGCGUGAGUGAAGAAGGAUUUCGGUUCGUAAAACUCUGUUGUUAGAGAAGAACAGCGCAUAGAGUAACUGUUAUGCGUGUGACGGUAUCUAACCAGAAAGCCACGGCUAACUACGUGCCAGCAGCCGCGGUAAUACGUAGGUGGCAAGCGUUGUCCGGAUUUAUUGGGCGUAAAGCGAGCGCAGGCGGUCAAUUAAGUCUGAUGUGAAAGCCCCCGGCUCAACCGGGGAGGGUCAGUGGAAACUGGGGGACUUGAGUGCAGAAGAGGAGAGUGGAAUUCCAUGUGUAGCGGUGAAAUGCGUAGAUAUAUGGAGGAACACCAGUGGCGAAGGCGACUCUCUGGGCUGUAACUGACGCGGAGGCGCGAAAGCGUGGGGAGCAAACAGG
rnacentral:rRNA from 1 species